UACGAAGGGGGCUAGCGUUGUUCGGAAUUACUGGGCGUAAAGCGCGCGCAGGCGGUUUUCCAAGUCAGUGGUGAAAGCCCGGAGCUCAACUCCGGAAAUGCCAUUGAAACUGUAAAACUUGAGGACGAGAGAGGUGAGUGGAAUUCCCAGUGUAGAGGUGAAAUUCGUAGAUAUUGGGAAGAACACCGGUGGCGAAGGCGGCUCACUGGCUCGUUUCUGACGCUCAGGCGCGAUAGCGUGGGGAGCAAACAGG
rnacentral:rRNA from 1 species